rnacentral:misc_RNA from 1 species
CGACUGCCUGCAACAUUUCCAGAGCCAGGCCUCUUUCUCUCUUUUUGUGCUCUUCACAGCGAUGGACGCAGACGAUCUUCGCCAGCUGGCGAUCAACGUGUCGUUGGACGACAUCGCGGCAUCGAGCGAUGCAACGAAACGGCUGCAGCAGCUUUUGACGCCGCAGCAGAUUGUCGCCAUGCUGAAGGAUGCGUCAGCAACUCACGCGCUACGUGCACUUGUAGGGGAAAUGGAGGCGGUCGGUAACGCAGACGUCUUUCACCUUAUCGGGCGAGCGCUAGAGGACGUGUUCACACAACCGUCGAGAGAGAGCAAAGCCGUCCUGCUUGCCCCUGCUGCUCAGUUCCUCGUGGAGUUUAUCGUGCGGUCCGCCGCGGCUGCUGACACUGCCGUCGCUUCAAGCAUGUCAAAGACGCUGUAUCGACUCAUCGCCAUUGCGGGUGACAGCACCGAGGCGGCUGCGUUUCUCGGGCCUUGCCUGGACGCCAACUUUCACAACGAGCAGGUGCUUCGACUCUUUGAUUGCGAUGCGGCCGAGUCAGCGGAAAACAAAACAGUGUGCGGCUUUCUGGAGCAGUGGACGUCUCUGCUUCCUUUCAUGUUUGAGGCCACACUGAACGCAUUCGAGAAUGAUCCGCUGCUGCAAGCCAACUAUACCAUAGCCAGUGGGGUGGCGUGUCGCACGGUCGCCGUGCCAUCGGCGCUGCGGCAGCGCACGAUGGAAAUCCUGCGCGCGAACGACGAUUCCUUGUGCUUCGCGUAUGUGUGCCGCUUUUGGAGCAUUGCGCUGAUCCAUCACGAGGCGAACGGGCAACGUGACGCCGCCGCCUGUGUGUCUACCGUGAUACCAGCCGUGGAGGCGAGCGAGAGGGAUGAAGGAGCCACUGAGGCCAUCUUCGACCUUCUCGGCUCCGCGGCGUCGACGCAAGCAGGCUGGGACGCUGUCACAGGGCAGCUGCCGUGCAAAACACUGCAGGUGAGACUCUCCAGCACUUCGCCCUCCCUGCGGCUGUCCACGCUGAAUCUGAUGCUGUCCAUGUUGACCUCACCGCACAUGAAUGUGUCGUUCUUCACAAAAGACUUGUUGCUGGACGCGUGGCAGACGCGCACCUCCCCCGAUGACAUGGUGCGCCUCGCUCUCUGGCGGGUAGCGAACGCGGCCCUUCUGCAGGAGAGUUUGAAUCGAAUGCUGGGUGCCGUGUGCGCGUCCUUCUUGAGCAGCGGUGUCCACGAAGAGAACGUCGCCGUGCGGUCACUGAAACUGACGGCGGCCGAGCGUCUUUUGCGCCACUCCACACUUCCCGAAAACGUCAAAGCCCGCCUUUUGCAGGUUGUCGAGCGCGGCCUCUACCCUGCGGGCUCCAGCGGCGUAUCUCUCAUGACGAAGGACUGAGCCGUCCGCCGACGUGGGCAGGACAGCCGCUUGCCCGUCAUGCUGGACAGCACCUCGCAACUCCAUCCCCCUUCUCCGGUGUGUGUGUGUGUGCUGUUGUGUGCACACUCGCUCUUUGUGCCCCCCCCCCCUCUCCAUCUCUGCACCUGCCCCCGCUCUCCCCCAGCGCGAUGGAGUGCACAUACGCGCUUAGCAGGAGGAGAUCCAACGUCCACUUCUUCCCGCGUGCCGUAGUAUGCGACGUGUUAUAUCCGAUGGCACAGGUGCACACGCCCUCGCAC